rnacentral:rRNA from 1 species
UACGGAGGGUGCAAGCGUUAUCCGGAUUCACUGGGUUUAAAGGGUGCGUAGGCGGACAGGUAAGUCAGUGGUGAAAUCUCCGAGCUUAACUCGGAAACUGCCGUUGAUACUGCAGGGCUUGAGUACAGAUGCCGUUGGCGGAAUAUGACAUGUAGUGGUGAAAUACAUAGAGAUGUCAUAGAACACCGAUUGCGAAGGCAGCUGACGAAACUGUAACUGACACUGAGGCUCGAAAGUGUGGGGAUCAAACAGG